rnacentral:rRNA from 1 species
UACGUAGGGGGCAAGCGUUGUCCGGAAUCAUUGGGCGUAAAGCGCGCGUAGGCGGCCCGAUCAGUCCGCUGUAAAAGUCCAGGGCUCAACCCUGGAAAGCCGGUGGAUACUGUCGGGCUAGAGUCCGGAAGAGGCGAGUGGAAUUCCUGGUGUAGCGGUGGAAUGCGCAGAUAUCAGGAGGAACACCGAUAGCGAAGGCGGCAUCCUGGACCGACAUUGACGCUGAGGAGCGAAAGCCAGGGGAGCAAACGGG